GACGAACGCUGGCGGCGUGCUUAACACAUGCAAGUCGAGCGGAAAGGCCCUUCGGGGUACUCGAGCGGCGAACGGGUGAGUAACACGUGAGCAACCUGUCCUUGACUCUGGGAUAAGCCUGGGAAACCGGGUCUAAUACCGGAUAGGACCUGUCUCCGCAUGGGGGUGGGUGGAAAGUUUUUUCGGUCAGGGGUGGGCUCGCGGCCUAUCAGCUUGUUGGUGGGGUAGUGGCCUACCAAGGCUUCGACGGGUAGCCGGCCUGAGAGGGCGACCGGCCACACUGGGACUGAGACACGGCCCAGACUCCUACGGGAGGCAGCAGUGGGGAAUAUUGCGCAAUGGGCGGAAGCCUGACGCAGCGACGCCGCGUGGGGGAUGACGGCCUUCGGGUUGUAAACCUCUUUCGGCAGGGACGAAGUUGACGUGUACCUGCAGAAGAAGCGCCGGCUAACUACGUG
rnacentral:rRNA from 1 species